CAUGCAAGUCGAACGAGAACUGUUGAGUUCGUAAGAACUCGACAGGGACAGUGGCGAACGGGUGCGUAACACGUGAGGAACCUGCCCUGGAGACCGGGAUAGCCCGAGGAAACUCGGAUUAAUACCGGAUACCUUCUCGGGAUCGCAUGAUCCCUUGAAGAAACAGUCCGCUGCUCCAGGAUGGCCUCGCGGCCUAUCAGCUUGUUGGUGAGGUAACGGCUCACCAAGGCAGCGACGGGUAGCUGGUCUGAGAGGACGAUCAGCCACACUGGGACUGAGACACGGCCCAGACUCCUACGGGAGGCAGCAGCAGGGAAUAUUGCACAAUGGGCGAAAGCCUGAUGCAGCGACGCCGCGUGCGGGAUGAAGGCCUUCGGGUUGUAAACCGCUUUCAGGAGGGACGAAAAUGACGGUACCUCCAGAAGAAGGCCCGGCCAACUACGUGCCAGCAGCCGCGGUAACACGUAGGGGCCAAACGUUGUCCGGAUUUAUUGGGCGUAAAGGGCUCGUAGGCGGCUCGACAAGUCAACCGUGAAAACCCGGGGCUCAACCCCGGGACGCCGGUCGAAACUGUCGUGGCUAGUGUCCGGUAGAGGUGAGUGGAAUUCUCGGUGUAGCGGUGAAAUGCGCAGAUAUCGAGAGGAACACCAGUAGCGAAGGCGGCUCACUGGGCCGGUACAGACGCUGAGGAGCGAAAGCGUGGGGAGCAAACAGGAUUAGAUACCCUGGUAGUCCACGCCGUAAACGUUGAAUACUAGGUGUGGCGGAUGUAUCCAUGUCUGCCGUGCCGCAGCUAACGCAUUAAGUAUUCCGCCUGGGGAGUACGGCCGCAAGGCUAAAACUCAAAGGAAUUGACGGGGCCCCGCACAAGCGGCGGAGCAUGCGGCUUAAUUCGAUGCAACCCGAAGAACCUUACCUGGACUUGACAUCAUGGGUCUACCUGCGGAAACACAGGGUGCUUAUGCGCCC
rnacentral:rRNA from 1 species